rnacentral:sRNA from 1 species
GCUGGUGUGGUGGCGCAUGCCUGUAAUCCCUGCGCUCAGGAGGCUGAGGCAGGGGGAUCAUGAGUUCAAAGCCCAUCUCAGCAACUUAGUGAGGACCUAAGCUAGUCAGUGAGAGCCUGUCUCUA